CCUUCACUUUUACACGUUAAUGUUCUUUGAUUAAACCCACGAGCCCUUAUUUCUCAUGUAGCAAAACCUUUGAGAUUUGGUUUGAUCAUUAUCACUCCACAGAAAUACAGUAAGCGUGCGUCUCCUCCGUGUCACUGCGUAUCAUCAGGGGUGGAUUGGACAGAUGCCCAGGGUGGCAUCUUUUGGGGGGGGGCAGCGCGAGGCACCCACCCCCUGGUCAACAACUUGGGGGCGUUCUCAUUUACAGUUUAAUCAUCACGACAGGCCUACAUGUGGGUUUGGAACAACCUAAGGGUCUCUUGCUACUUUCUUUAAAGGAGGAAGCGGGAGCCGGAUAAACGAUCUAACCUGGUCCCUGCCUCCUCCUUUCCCAUUCUUAACCUUUGUUACAUUGGUGCUGAAGCCCAGGAAGGAGGAAGGAUGAGCUGUCGUGGAGUCCUCGCCACUGCCAUCCACCCAAAAGAGCAGUUGCUGCCGGCUGCCUGGACGUGGAGGAACAGCUGCCAUCCACUAGGGGAGGAGGGGCUCAAUGCUGGCUGCCUGGAGCGGUGGAGUUCCCUACCGGUCGCCAAAACGCGAAGGGGCGUUCCAUCUGCCAGGGGUCGGAGGACUGGCUCCGGUCCGCCCGGGGAGGAGCGGCUGUCAUCCGCCAGAGGGUGGAGGAGUGAUCGAGGACCAGGCGACGUCAUGUCUGUUAACCGGCGAACAAGUUUUUUAAUCUUUCUCCUCUCUCUCUCUCUCUCUCUCUCUCUCACACUGUCGCUCCGCCUUGCCCUUUCCCUCUCCUCUUUCGUUUGUUUUGUUUUUCCCUCCCCUCGUCCCCCUCCCCAGCCCUAGAGAGGUGGGGAAAAGCCUGCCAGCAGGAAGGAGGAGUGUGACGAGGAGGAGGGUGGGGCCAGGCCAUGACUACACACGCCCGGGCCCAAAUCGGGCUAAUCAGCCGAGGAGAGGCAUAAGUGCAGCGGGAUGCGGCAGUUCGGGAGAGAGAGAGCCACAUGCAGCUGCCAUGUGUGUGUUUUUAUGUUUUGUGUCUUUUUGUUUAAAUUAAAUAUUAUUUUAACUGUUCAGCCGGUUCCCGCCUCCUCCUUUCCCAUCCUUAACCUUUGUUACAUUAGUGUACUUGUUAACCAAGUGGACUAAGGUGUUACCGAAGAGCAUGCUCAAGAUGAAAUAUGAGACCAGUGAAAAUCAAGGGAAAUAUCACUUGUGAGCAGAAUAUUUUUAUUGGAAGUCAAGCUGUAAUUUUGCCAAAUUGCGCAAAAGUUUAACAAUAUUCUUUAAUUGUGUGUAUUUAGGAUACAUAAAAUGUUAACUAUGAAAUGGGCCAUUUUAUUAAAAAAAACUGUAACAAAUGUCACUUCCAUCAGCAUCAUUUCCAGCACAGAAUUCUAUUAAACACAAUGCAGAAUUUGAGAUGUGCUAGAAAUGAGACUCUGGUGGGAAUUUUCAUGACAAAACGACAUAAAUCUCCUGUGAUGCAUGUACAAAAUAAAAUGGUUUUACCUAGACUAAAA